rnacentral:misc_RNA from 1 species
UCCGAGUUGACCCCGGCAGUCUCCCAUGAGUCCCCGGCAUCACCCGCUGGCAACAUGGAACAAGGGUUGCGCUCGUUGCGGGACUUAACCCAACAUCUCACGACACGAGCUGACGACAGCCAUGCACCACCUGCACACCAACCACAAGGGAACGCCUAUCUCUAGACGCGUCUGGCGCAUGUCAAACCCAGGUAAGGUUCUUCGCGUUGCAUCGAAUUAAACCACAUGCUCCACCGCUUGUGCGGGCCCCCGUCAAUUCCUUUGAGCUUUAAUCCUGCGAUCGUACUCCCCAGGCGGAAUGCUUAAUGCGUUAGCUGCGAUACCGAAGGGGUCAAAACCUCCGACAUCUAGUAUUCAUCGUUUACAGCGUGGACUAC